AGCACUCGCCUCGCACAUGCCUAUCCACCUUAUUUUUUACAGUUUACUGCAACAUGAUAUUGAUAUUCUUCUCAUCAUUUCCCUAUAGCGGCUAAUAAAUUGGAUUCGGAAGUCUCGCACAUUCACAAAAAACACAUUAUUUCCGCGUUGAAAAAUAAGGUGGGUAGAAUAAAAACGUAGCCUAAUACGCACAUGUGCAUGCCGUAACCGAUUUCAUAGAUUGGCGUUUUUGCAGUUUAGCCUACACGGAGAUGAUAACGGUAUCAUUUUCAAAAAAUUAUAUUUUGAAACCCGUUUUCAAAACCCGUUGUCGGCAAAAACGCAUAAAAAGUUUUUCGUUUUUCAGUUGAAAAUGGUGUCGAGUAAACAGCCCCUAAGAGACGAAUUACCUCAGUCAUCAGGGCAACAUCAUUGUUGUCACAUGUUUCCUCAGUUUGGAAUUUGAUUUCAUCAUUUAGUUCAGGCCUUGAAGUCAUUCUUGAUAAGGAGGAAGAUGCUCUGUUCAGGACAAGCCCAGCUUUGAAAGUGUUUGAGACUCCCACCACCUCUGAGACUCGCACUGCCUCUCUGACUGACACUGCAUCUGAGACUGACACUGCAUCUGAGAUUGACACGGCAUCUGAGACCAACACUGCCUCUAAAAUGACACUGCCUCUGAAACUGACACUGGCUCUGAGGCUGCCUCUGAAACUGCCUCUCAGAUUGACAUUGUCUUUCAGACUGAGAUUGUCUUCGAGUCUGACACUGCCUCUGAGACUGACAAUGCUUCUCAGACUGACACUGCCUUGGAGACAACACCACCUCUCAAAAUGCCUUUUAACUUCCAUUUUCUCUGAGACUGUCACCGCAUCAGAGAUUCUCACUGCAUUGGAGACUGUCACUGUCUCUCAAUUGCCACUGGAUUUGAUACAGCUGUUGCUUCUCAGACAUCCACUGUCUCUGAGACUGUCACUCCCUGAAGACCUGAACCCCUUUUAACAUCUGUGUAACACAGUUCGUAGAUCAGGGAAGAAGGAGAUGGGAACUGGUGAACGUUCAACAAUAAUUUAAUAAAUAAACAGACACAAAACAAAAGUAAAAGAGGCAGUCCCUCACGGACCGGUUCCCAAAACGCACUGCCAUCUGCUCAGCCAUGCUCGAUGGCACCGCCGAUUCCCCACAGUGGCGAGGACUCUUUGACAGUGUGUUCCUUCUUCCUCCUGGCCUUAGGCACCAAUGAAUGGCUCAUUAUCAAUCACGGCACCAGCCUUGCACCAUUCUCACGGCCCUCAGCCUCAUCCUGCUUCUUAUUCUCUAUGCCAGAGGUGCCCAAACUUUUUACAACAAAGGGCCAAAAAUUAAACUUGAUUGAGACAAUAAAAUACAAAAUAAAUUAAAAAUUGGCAAUAAAAUAUACUCCUAGAUUUCUUUAUUCUCUGUACUCUGUUGUCUAUGGAAGAGAAUUCAUGCCACUGUGAAGCACAUGAAUACACAGCAUUUCAUGUCUGACAUCAUUCCACAAUGCUGUCUUACUUCACUUAUUAAUUAAACCACUGUGAUUUAUUUAGAAAUGAAACAAGUGACUGUUCAACCACACUGAUUUAUUCAGGUAUUCGUUCAUUUUGUGUUGCUCAGAGACAAUUCUGCUUUGGCUUCACUUGGAAGUGUUUUCGUUGACAAUGUUGUGUCUAAAUUGUAAAUGUAAUUUUGCUCAUUAUUAAAGGAAAGUUUCACUGCUGGCAAGAUGGACUUUUAAUAAAACUUGGCUGUCUAUGCAGUAGAAACAUGGGGGGAAAAAUUAAAUCUGUGUUACAUGACUAGAGAAAAGGGCUGUGGCGUUUCCUGUUGCCAAAAACGUCAUCAUCCAUAAUGCGCUUUUGAUUUUUGAUGAUGCCCCUCUGCCAAUCCGACUGUCCAUGGGGCGAGAAUACAAAAAAUGUGGAAGUUUGAUCUGUAAACCCUGGAGCUCUCAAAAGUUCACCAGAUGACUCCAAUUAACUUCUUAUUUAUUGAACUGUUGCAUAAAAGCAAAUCGUAAACUCUUGCUUGUGUGAUAUUAUUUUGCAAAUCUGAAAUACUUGAAUCUGUGCUCUUAGAUAUACAGUAAGAGAAUCAUACACUGUAUA